GACGAACGCUGGCGGCGUGCUUAACACAUGCAAGUCGAGCGAGGCUCCUCCUUCGGGAGGAUGCCCUAGCGGCGAACGGGUGAGUAACACGUGGGCAACCUGCCCCUAGCACUGGGAUAACCCCGGGAAACCGGAGCUAAUACCGGAUACGACCACGGACGGCAUCAUCUCGUGGUGGAAAGAUUCAUCGGCUAGGGAUGGGCCCGCGGCCUAUCAGCUUGUUGGUGGGGUAAUGGCCUACCAAGGCGACGACGGGUAGCCGGCCUGAGAGGGCGACCGGCCACACUGGGACUGAGACACGGCCCAGACUCCUACGGGAGGCAGCAGUGGGGAAUAUUGCGCAAUGGGCGAAAGCCUGACGCAGCGACGCCGCGUG
rnacentral:rRNA from 1 species